CUAGCUGUAAACGAUGGAUACUAGGCGUUGAGAGUAUCGACCCUCUCAGUGUCGUAGCCAACGCGUUAAGUAUCCCGCCUGGGGAGUACGCGCGCAAGCGUGAAACUCAAAGGAAUUGACGGGGGCCCGCACAAGCGGUGGAGUAUGUGGUUUAAUUCGAUGCAACGCGAAGAACCUUACCAGGGCUUGACAUGUCCGGAACCCUGCCCAAAGGCGGGGGUGCCUACGGGAACCGGAACACAGGUGGUGC
rnacentral:rRNA from 1 species